CCUUUAUUAUAGCUCAGGGUUAUGUAUAAUGGUAACGUUUCAAAUCAAAUUUGAAGAUAAAGUGUAGAAAAAUGCGAGGUUUAUGACUUUGUGGCUGUGGUAACUAGUGACUGCAAAGAGUAGAGGCAGAUAUAUUAGAGAAAGGAGAGGGAGAAGGAACAUCAACCGCAAGAAAACAUUACCGCCAACUACAGGUUGGGGGUUAUACGAGGAAGUCAUGAUUUCACUCUUCCUACUAGCCGCGCGAAAAGUAAAAAAGCAACAUGUUCCUCGCUUUGACGUUUGGCAAUAACAAUGCAAACAAGCUGCUGCACGAUCGUAUGUACCAACAGACAAGUAACAGAGCAAGACGUGUAACUUGUAAACUUCCUUAAGAUAAGACCCGCCGUAAAGCCUGGAUAGACGCUAGUCUGAGUAUCCGUCUCGUAUCUAACGUUUCACUCCUUGCCAUUGCCAAACAUUUUGGCACAUGACAUGGAGUACAGGGAGUGGAACGUUCGAUAAGAACUUAAAUAGCCCAAGGAAAUCUGGGGCCAUUGCGAAAAGGCUCAAAUUGGAGAUUUAGCAAACUGCACUGGGUGGACAGGCCGUUAAGUCAAAUAUGUACCAGAGCAAAGUAUAGAACCCAGGUACCUCACAGUACCACUACCUAUGGCCUUGGUAACAGCAACACAGUCCUGCCAGACCAGAGACAACCACUCCUCCACAGGAACACUGUAGAUCUGGACACAGAAGAAAGCUGCAUGUUCAACACCUGAGAUCUUAAACCAGGAAGAUGAAGGCACUUCUAUUUCCUAUAUAGUGCACUACUUUUUACUUGAGCCCUACUAUCGGGAAUAGGCUGCCAUUUUGGGGUGCAUACAAAGACUACCAUUGAGCCAAGGAGAUGGCAGCAGGUUUCAUGGACUCCUUGAUAGCCUAUACACACACACUAGUUUUUAUCUGAUACGGCAUUAUCAUUAAAAUGUUUAAAAAGCUUAACAUAAAAAUCACUACUGUAGGACAGGGAUCAUCAACUAGAACAUAAUUACAAAUCAUUUGUAGACUGCAAGAAGCCCAAACAGAGAUGACUAAAACAAUUUCAAACCUAGCUUACAUUUGUUUAAGAUCACAUGUAUAUUAUGCAUGGGAAUACUUGGGAACUGAUUUCCAAAAAAAAGUCACUUGGCGCUGAUUUGGGGGCCAAAUUAAAUCACUGGCCCGCGGACCGCCAGUCGUGGCACCCUGCCGUAGGAAGUACUCACUGAUUGUGGUUAUAUUGGUAUAAUAGCAAACAAAAACAUACCAAUUGUGUCAGUCAAUGAACGUGUCAUCCCAUUGCAUGGGUCCACUGUGUAGUCAAUCUUUGUAUAGUAAAAGAUUUCAAAAGCAGACAAAGUGCAUUUGUGAGAUGCUUGAAUAUUGGUUUUUAAUAACUUAUAAAACACCUAUGUUACAGCACCAACUAUAAACAUACUGUACAUACACUGGAUGAAAAACUGGGUGAUUUUUUUUUUUCAGACUGAACAUCUCAAAAGAUUUUAUAUUUUGGGGGGGAGAAACCAACAUAAGAACAGUGAGCUAGAAUGAUAGAAUCUACAAGCAGUUCCGAUAUAACUCUAAUGAUAAAAACAGACAGUGGACUGAGGGCCAGAUACUGCAUUCACACCUGGGGCCAUAUUCAUUAGGCCACAAAGCAGCAAAACAUUUAGCAAGUUCAGGUAGGUCUCCCUGUUUCAGUCCUUUUUCUGACUAAUGAGUAUGCCCCCAUCCUCUCAAAUAGUAGUAGGAUGUAGAAUGUUUUGACUGGACUGAAGAGUUGUAGACCAUUGUGGAGAAAUUAUUCAGUCCUCACUGAGUGAGAGGAGGUACACUUCAACUAACACAGAACAACCAACAGUGAAUUGAUUUACUGAACAUAGCUAGGUUUGCCAGUGUCCAUCUGCCAGCCCCCAGUGUACUGUAGCUAUAACUACAACUGUAUCCAGAACUGUAGUUGUAACUGUGGUCAAAUCUGCAAAGUGCCAUUUGAGAUGAAUCAGCCUGUAUGAAUCUCUUUCUAGUCAUUAUCUUCCUGGUUCACAGCAGAACAGGAGCAGCUCUU